AUUGAACGCUGGCGGCAGGCUUAACACAUGCAAGUCGAACGAGCGGCGGACGGGUGAGUAAUGUCUGGGAAACUGCCUGAUGGAGGGGGAUAACUACUGGAAAAGGUAGCAAAUACCGCAUACCAUCAGAUGUGCCGAGAUGGGAUUAGCUAGUAGGUGGGGUACUGGCGCACUAAGGGGACGAUCCCUAGCUGGUCUGAGAGGAUGACCAGCCACACUGGAACUGAGACACGGUCCAGACUCCGCAGGGAGGCAGCAGUGGGGAAGUGUGCACAAGGGGCGAAAGCCUGAUGCAGCCAUGCCGCGUGUGUGAAGAAGGCCUUCGGGUUGUAAAGCACUUUCAGCGAGGAGGCGUUACUCGCAGAAGAAGCACCGGCUAACUCCGUGCCAGCAGCCGCGGUAAUUC
rnacentral:rRNA from 1 species